rnacentral:lncRNA from 1 species
CUGCAGUUCUCCCCAGAGACAGGCAUGCUCCCAGCAACUAGAUUUCCUGAAUGUUCUCCAUGAGUCACGUUAGCUAAGCUGUUUCUGCCUCACAUCUGAAGGAAGACAGGAGGAAAGGUGGAUGAACUAAGCUGGACCCAAACUGUCUCUUCCAGGUGCUGAAUACCACGUUGGAUGCUCUGGCAGGUGCAAGCAAUGAAACCUUCCAUGGCGACGGCAGUUUGGGGUCUGCAAAGUGCACCCAACUGGAUUCUGGGAAUUCUG